rnacentral:misc_RNA from 1 species
GAACUGCGAUAAGUAAUGUGAAUUGCAGAAUUCAGUGAAUCAUCGAGUCUUUGAACGCACAUUGCGCCCCCUGGCAUUCCGGCGGGCAUGCCUGUCCGAGCGUCAUUUCAACCAUCAAGCCCCCGGGCUUGUGUUGGGGACCUGCGGCUGCCCGCAGGCCCUGAAAACCAGUGGCGGGCUCGCUGUCACACCGAGCGUAGUAGCAAUCACCUCGCUCAGGGCGUGCUGCGGGUUCCGGCCGUUAAACAGCCUUACAAAACCCAAGGUUGACCUCGGAUCAGGUAGGAAGACCCGCUGAACUUAAGC